rnacentral:pre_miRNA from 1 species
UACUUUAGAGUGAUGUCUUUGCAGGGGAAAAGAUGUUGUUGGUUUUUGAGCCUGGUAAUUUAAGACAUGCUCAAGAGUG